rnacentral:misc_RNA from 1 species
CUACCCCUCAAGCGCGGCUUGUGUGUUGGGCGCUGUCCCUCCCCUCCUUUGGGGGGACAGGCCUGAAAGGCAGUGGUGGCGUCGCGUCCGGUCCUCGAGCGUAUGGGGCUUUGUCACCCGCUCUGUGAGGAUCCGGCCGGGGCCUGUCUCACCCCCAAUCUUCUCUAA